rnacentral:snRNA from 1 species
GAUCCUUUAGACCUUCGG